rfam:Eutrema salsugineum unplaced genomic scaffold scaffold_9, whole genome shotgun sequence.
AACCCAUGGUGUGGGCAUUGGUUUGUGUAGCUCCUGAAUCUCUCAUAUGCUUCACCAAAACUCUCAUUGCUGUGCUGAGUGAAACUAGAGAUUUGAUUCCUCAGUUU